UACAGAGGUCUCAAGCGUUGUUCGGAUUCAUUGGGCGUAAAGGGUGCGUAGGCGGCGCGGUAAGUCGGGUGUGAAAUCUUGGAGCUUAACUCCGAAACUGCAUUCGAUACUGCCGUGCUUGAGGACUGGAGAGGAGACUGGAAUUUACGGUGUAGUGGUGAAAUGCGUAGAUAUCGUAAGGAAGACCAGUGGCGAAGGCGGGUCUCUGGACAGUUCCUGACGCUGAGGCACGAAGGCCAGGGGAGCGAACGGG
rnacentral:rRNA from 1 species